rnacentral:lncRNA from 1 species
ACAAACCGCGUUUAUGAAAUUCUAUAAAUUUGGUCCCUUGUGCUGUAUCAGCAACACAAACUUCAAUCCUUCGUUCUAUCCCUCUGAAUUAAAGUUACUCUUCCUUCUCGCUCUCCCAAUGGGAUUCUCUCCUGCCUUUUACGCUUGCUCCAUUCCUCCAGUUGGUCCUAACAAAUUCACAGAGCUAGGCCAGUCCAAAUUCAACAAUGUUGUGCUUGUGCCUACUGCUCAGAAAUGGAGCAUUGCCCACGACCACACCUUGGUUUAUAAGCCCUUAAGAAAGCAUAAUCAUCAAUCUCAACAUCUCAGCUUUACUGUUAAGUUUACGUCUCCGUUUUCAUUUUCUUUUAAUUCUUAUUCUGCUAGAUUUUAGCUAUCGAAUAACUACGCGCGGCUGACACGCUUCUCUUGCAGGAUGAAUUUUACCGUCAAGCAUGCACAAAGAUUGGAAUGAANNNNNNNNNNNNNNNNNNNNNNNNNNNNNNNNNNNNNNNNNNNNNNNNNNNNNNNNNNNNNNNNNNNNNNNNNNNNNNNNNNNNNNNNNNNNNNNNNNNNCAAAACAACUUUUAGAGGAACCUAGAAUUCUUGGAUCCACCUCCACCUUAGAGUUAUAAUUCUUAAAUAGUUGAAUCCUUAUUAUUUUUAAAUAAGAUGCUCCUAAAAUGCCUUUUAGCUGCAGCAUUUUGGAGCCAUUUGUAUAAAAUUGCAUUUCUUGACAGCACAUUUAUUACUACAUGCUAACAAUGAUUGGAUGGUACAGUUCAUUUCAGUCAUGCAAGCUAUUUUAUUUGUUGGGAAACAACUUCAGCGACUUCACAUAGAAGAGAAAGAUGUUGAUGAGAAGGGGCAAUCAAGGAGUAUGCACUCUGUUUUGUUAAGAAAGUUGAUUUUGACAGCUUCAUCAUCUGGUAUAAUUGGGAAUGCUGCAAAACUAUUGUCCACCCUAAACAAAGAAGCAGCUGAUAAAGGGGAUUUACCUAACUUAUUCAAUAUUUCAAGUGGCCAAUUCCCAGAGGUUUGUAUGAAAUGUUCAUCUUCUCAAUUUGUGUUCCAUAUUGUGAAUGUGAUGCUUUACUGUCUUCAUAUAUUUUCUAGUCUCUAUUUUGUACUUCAAUACCUCAUUUAUGCACAGGUUGCUAAAGCAAGGUCACUGGUUCAAUCAGCAAAGGAGAAAUUGGAUUUAUUAAUUGGAUUGUAUCGGAAGCAGCUUCGAAUGAACAAUUUGGAAUUCAUGAGUGUUUCUGGGACCACACAUUUGAUAAAGGUAGUUCAGCGAAACAAAUUUUGCGAGAACUUAUAUAUGUACCUCGCCAGAUAACAAAGUAUUCUAAUAAUUUUAAUGCUAUUUGAUCUGCUAGAUAUUAAUCAUUUUUUUCCUUUGAUUUACAAUUUUAAGCCUCUUGUCUUUUAGCCCUUACUUUAUCAGAUUAAUUUGAAGUUAACAAUUGUUUGAGUAUUGAGUAGGAAGCGUUUUAGUUCUGUCCUGUAGAAGCUUAAUGUGGGAAAACUGAAGGAAUGAUUUUUAGUCCUUCACUUUCCUUUUUUUAUUUACCCUUCCUUUUUACUCUUGGUUAAUAAUUGCGACUUUUUUUUGGUGCAUUUAAUAACCUAUUAGCAUUUAGAAUGUACCCUCCAUACAGUGCAUCCUGACUGCACACAUAUUUUUGUCAAAAUAGGUUUUGGAUUAUGUUAAUGCCCCAAUUUUCAUGAAAUUGUUGGCGGCUUUCUAAUUGAGAUUCAGCAUUGACCACUUGAAAUGGUUUCAUACUGUGUGUGCACACUUGUGCAUAUUGGUACAAUGAAUAUUUCAUUAUUACUGGGCUUAGGUCUUCCUUGAUCUUCGUAUUGGCAAUUACACUCUGCCUCAGUGCUUCCUUGAUGUUUAUUUAUUUCCCUGAGGAGCCUUCAGGUACUAUUAUUCCAUUCCCAUCUCAUUUCCUUGUUGUGCAUAGUGUUAUUCAUCAUGAAUGAGUUUUAGAGAUUACUUCUUCAGAUUGCAGAAACAUAAUAAUUAACCACUUUGGACUUCAUUCAUUUACAAGAAAUAACAUUUAGUUUUCUUUUGCUGUUUGAUUUUUCGUUAAUUUUCGUGAGACUUGAAAAGUUAUGAAGGGGUCUCAUUUUAAGGUUUCUUAUAUAGAAAAUCAUACAGUUUGAUUCCUAUUACUCAUUCUAUUUGUUUAAUUACUCAGUGUGGAGAUUUUUCUGGAUACUUACAUGACUAGUCCUAAGAGGGUUUGCUUUGAUAUACUUUUAUUCAUUUCAUUUAGAUCACUUCUUUUGAGGUUUCAUAAGGGUUUAUGUUUUUGAGUUUGCAUUUUCUUGGUCAGGAGUGAAUUAAAGUAUUCAAUUUAUUUCUGAGGAAGUUUUCUUAGAUAGCACAUGAUAAAAAGUCUAUCCAAUUCUACUUAACUCAACUCAAACUUAUGUAGUCACAUCUUAUGAGGCCUUAAUUUGAAAUCCAAGGCUUAAAAUUUUGAUAUAUUUUUUUUCUUAGUAAUUGAGUGAGUUUUUAAAUUCAGUUUCUCUUAGAAAUCAAAAUUUUGAAACAAAUUUUCCCAAAUCCCAUAUUUGAAGAAUUUCAAGACUCAAAAUUUGUAGUCCUUCCCACAAUGUUAUAAGCAAUUGAUUGAAAAGAGCUUUGUUGAAAUUUCGAUCCUUAGUGAAACUUUUUUUUUUUUUUUUUUCUUGUCAAAGCAAUACGCUAGUACAGGUUUCUUUUUUGGUAUUCUGGAAGGAUGAACUACAACGAACUAAACAUCAAUAUCUACUACAUUGAUUAGUUGUUUGCACAUUCAAUUUUUUCUAUUAUCUUUUAAAAAAUUAGGCUUUCUACUAAUGUUUAAUUUCAUUUAGUACCAAUCUUAAGCUUGACAAAAAUCAAUUAGUCAUACAUAAAAUUCAUCCCAUAAAUUACAUGUUACAUCUACUCAAACAGUCUACAAGGUAUACAUGAUUUUUUUAAAUAAUUAUCAUUUUCUUAGAUUUUUCUUUCUUCUACAUUGUCUUAUUUUUGCAAUUGUGUUCCUCUCUAAGAAAUUUGUAUUGUACAUUCAUUUUUUGCAAAAUGAAUUAUUUGUUUCUAAUUAAAGGAAAAUGUGGUAAAAAGCUAAUUUCUUAUUUGACCUUUUUCCACAGGUAUCAAUACCUUCAUAUAUUCCAUUUUGGGGAGAUGUGAUAGUAAAGAAGCAGGUACCUAUGUCUCCAGUGAUUGAUACUAUAAGAUGUCUUGCUUCUUUUAACUUAUUUUUUUUGGGUGAAUGUGCCUGUGUACCAAGUUCUGUCAUUCUUCUAUGCACUAAAUAUUGUGUGUGAAUGCACUUGCAUGACAUAACAAAGGAUAUCAAUAGAAGUGUACCACUAAAAAAGAUAUCAUUCUUCUGUUUUUCCUUUUUUCCAUUUGACCAAUAAAAAAAGAUGAGUGAUGAUUGAAUGAAAAAAUUAAUUUACUUCUAUUAGAAAGCAGCCUAUAAAAAAGUUGAUGAAAAAAAUGUCAUGUCUANNNNNNNNNNNNNNNNNNNNNNNNNNNNNNNNNNNNNNNNNNNNNNNNNNNNNNNNNNNNNNNNNNNNNNNNNNNNNNNNNNNNNNNNNNNNNNNNNNNNCCCCCCCCCCCCCCCUAUUUAUAAUUUUUGAAUCUCUAGAGAAGCCACCCACCUAGUCUUGUAUUCCUUUGGUAUUUCCUUUGUAUGUUUGAAUUUUUUAUGUUUUGGUUAGUUAUUUAUAUUAUGUUUCAUUUAUCCUUUUGUUGUUUUGGUGUAUUCAUUAAUUUUUAACUUUUUGAUGUUAUAUCAUAUUUGGAAAUAUGUUACCCUUGAAGAUUUUACUUUAUUUUAUUUACUAAGGAAUCACUAUUUUAUUAUAAAGUUUUUCUACUUAAUUAGUGAACAACAUUUAAUCCUCAAGUGAUAAGCUCUAACUAUUUUUUUCUAACUCAUUUAUUUUUCUAAAAAUUUUCUCAUUUCAUUUUAUAUUAGUUCUAGUUUGUUUUUUUUUUUCCUUUCAAAUUUUUAUGAAAGUUAUUGUUUCAAUUGUAUUUAUUGAUUGUUGCAUGUAUAAUUUAUGAGUUUUUAAUUCUUCCUAUAUUUGUUUAUAGGAUGCAAAGGAAACUGGUUUGCCCAAAGAAGAAAACCCAAAUUUGUUAAAGGAGGUGAUGUCGAUCGAAAACCACCAUGAAGAUUGCAUCAUUAGUCAUUUGAAGGUUGAACAAUAUUUUUUUGUAGAAUAUAAAUCUUAAUAAUUGUUGCAGUAAUAUUUGUACUCUUGUUGAAAGAAUUAGAAAUUGUUGUUCGAAAUAUUUUGAUGUAAUUAACAAAUUUGUAUGCAAUUAUUGUAUAUAAGUAGCUACAUUAAUGGUUUGAACUAGGUUAUUAUAUAUCAAUAUUUGAAGAUAUCUUUAUUAGUAAUAUUCAAUUUGAUUUUGAGUUUUUUUUUUCUUUUUAUUUAAUUAUAUAUGAAAUCGUUAUUUUAACAACAGAAUAUAAAUAUCAUUUUUAAUAUGAAAUGAUCAAAGAUGACACUUCUAUAAGUGUCAUUGUUAACAUAAAUCAAAGAUGACACUUUUGAACGUGUCAUUGAUCAAUUUUAUUAAAGAUGACACUCCAAUAAGUAUCAAGAUUACUAAUUUUGUAAAACUUAUUUCACUAUAAUAUGUUUAAAGAUGACACUUUUUAUGAGUGUCAUUAUUAACAUUAUUCAAAGAUGACGUUUCUUUAAGCAUCAUUAAAAGCAUUUAUCAAAGAUGGCACUUCCUAGAAGCGUUAUUAUUGGCUAACACAUAUAAUGACAGAGCCGAAUAGGACGCUUUAGAGAAGUAUCAUCUUUUGUCUUUCUUGACACAUAAAAAGCGUUAUUUCUCAUUUUUCUUAUAGUGCCAUUAUGUUGAAGUGAUAGCAAUUUUUUCCCCAGGUGUGCUUUAUCGUGAGACAUGAGAAAGCGAUUUUUCCAUUUUUGGAACAUGUAAAACGUGGCCUAUGGGAAACUAGUCGGAAGAUCCAUCUUAACAUAGUAAAUGGAGUUUUGACCAAAAAUAAGAGUUUCAAAAAAUAUUUCUAUAAACUCAACUUGAAUUUAAAUUAAUGCCGAAUUUAAUAAGUCUAAGCCAAGUAAGAAUUGACUAUGGUUUUAAUUUUUUGUUAAAGAUUCAAAAAUAGAGAGGACCACACUGGUUGUUGACAACAACCCUAAAAAUAAAAGGGACUACAAAAAAAUUGACUGCGGUUUUAAUUUUUUUGUUAAAGAUUCAAAAAUGGAGAAGACCACACUGGCCAUUGAUAACAACCCAAAACAUAAAAGGGACCACAAAAAAAUUGACUACGGUUUUGAUUUUUUUGUUAAAGAUUCAAAAAUGGAGAGGACCACACUAGUCAUUGAUAACAACCCUAAAAAAAAAGUAUCAUAAUAGAUUUUUAUUAUAAGAACCUUGUAAAUUUAUUCGGUUUAAGUGUAUUUUAGUUUCUUAUUGUAAAUUUUUUUGGGUUAAAUGCAUUUUAAUUUUUUAUUGUAAAUAGAUUUGGCUUUUUUAUUUUAUUUUCAUUUUGAGCUUGAAAUGAACAAAAAGGGUUUUGUUUUCGAUAAAACAAUGAGAUACCCCUAAAAACUUAAAGAGAUUUAAUUGAAAAGAUAAAAUUACUUAAACAUUUUGAUGUGUUGUUGGUGACUAGAGUUUUGACCAAUUAAAAAACAAUUCAAAACUAUGAUUGAUACGGUUUUAUAAUAUGGAAUCUUACAUGGUUUAGGUGUGCUAAAUUGAGUAUUAGUUUGAAUUCAGGUUAGGUAAUCAUUUUUUUUAAAAAGAAAAAUACUAUUAUUUUUUUUUUUUGUCAAAACUCCACAAGCACACAAACUGCGUUUAUGAAAUUCUAUAAAUUUGGUCCCUUGUGCUGUAUCAGCAACACAAACUUCAAUCCUUCGUUCUAUCCCAAUGGGAUUCUCUCGUGCCUUCUACGCUUGUUCCAUUCCUCCAGUUGGUUCUAACAAAUUCACAGAGCUAGGCCAGUCCAUUUCUUGACCUUGUCGACCAUUUCUUUAAGUCUAGAGUUAUUGGAAGACGAACGCUUGAUGGUUUUAGCUGGAGUUUUGGUGGUGGCCAGCAGAGGUGAGGUGAAGAUGCCACGGAGACGACGAGCCAGAGACAACAUUACUGCUGUGUAACGUUGGGCCGCAGAAUGAAAUUUAAAUUAAUAUUUUUCUUUUUCUUUUUUUUUCGUAGUGAGCAAAUGUCAUUUCUUUUCAUAUCAUUCUUUUCAAUUUUCACACUUUCUCUAGGUCUUGAGCUUAAAUGAUGAAUUUAUAUGGAUCAAAGCUUAAUUUUUGAGUUCAAGUGGAUUCAAAACACAAUUGUCCAAAAAAAAAAAAAGAUUUUUUGAAAUACUUUAUUUUUCAUUUUUUAAUAAUAUAAAAAAUAAUUUUUAAUAAUCAAACAUAUUUUUUCUACCUCAAAUAAAUCUUAAACGUGUGGCACCGUAAUGAUCACACAAUAGGAAUCUGUACGUCGAUACAAAAGCCUCCGGCCCUUUGUCUUGGAGUUUGUCGAGAUUUGAUUAAUGAAACGCUUAUAACAUUUUUUAAAGAGUGCACAACUCCUAAUGAUUUGACAUUUGGCGAGUAGCAAUCAUAGAAGUGCAAAAGAUAUCAGCCACAGUUUAUAAAGAUGUACAACCCUUUUUGGUCCCGCCUAUAGUGGUUGGCUAGAAGAGUCACCNNNNNNNNNNNNNNNNNNNNNNNNNNNNNNNNNNNNNNNNNNNNNNNNNNNNNNNNNNNNNNNNNNNNNNNNNNNNNNNNNNNNNNNNNNNNNNNNNNNNUCCCUAUCGUUAUUUACCCCGAAACAAAACUAUAAGGAGUAGGAAGGGUUAAAAAGUUAAACCUUAAACCAGUAAUUAAUCUCAUCCAUUUGAUGAUUUUAGGAAUUUUUUUAAAAAAAAGGAAAAAAUAGGUUUCAGAUGUAGUUUUGAGUUAUAAAACUCAAAUUGGUUGCGAAAUGCCAAAGACCUUAAAAUCCUAAGAUCAUUUUACUUAAGAAACCCUUGUUAUCUCUUUUUCUAUACUUUAAGUUGGAUUGUGUAAAGCUCUAGAAUUGAAUUAAAAAUCAAUAUCCAUUUUGUUAUUAAUUUAGUUUUUUUAACUUAGUUUCACCUCAUAAAAGUUACUUUAUAUAUUGUUUUUCAUUUUAGGAUUCAAACAAAAACAAUUCAUUUAUUGAUAAUUUUCAUAAAGUAGUCCUUGACAAUACCUGAAGUACAAUAAUAACCAUAAUGACUCUUUUUUUUGUUUUGUUUUUUUUUACUAGAGUUGUUAAAUAAAAGUCUUAGCAUCUUGGACAACAAAGAAGAUUGGUCAACCAUUUACGUCGAAAAAUAUUGAAUUAUGUCACCGUCUUUUUUCUUUGGAUACUUUACGUUUGAUUAGAAAAAUAGAAAAAUAAAAACAUAUACCCAAUUAAUAAAUUGUCUUUAUAUUUAGCUUUAAAUUCUUUCCAUUUUUUUCUCUUAUAAAAUUAAAUAAUUUUAAAAUAUAUAAAUCUUAUUUUGUAUACUAAAUCAAACUAUUAGAAACUUUAAAAAAAAAAAAAAAAAAUUCUUUGCCAAACAUUAUUGGGGUUACAAAAACCAAGAUUGUACAAUAACUGUCUUAGCUAUAUGAUAACUUCUAUUUCAUUUCCUCUGCAACAAUCACCAACACUUUUUUGUAAUCCAGAAUAAUCACAUUUUUUUAAUAAACCAAUUCAUUUUACCUAAGUAUCAUGAAGAUUGGUCCACAUUUGUACGUUCUAUCCGACAAAGUCACACACUCCUUGACUUGUCGUCCAGAUAUUUGAAGUGACAGCAAUUUUUUCCCCAUGUGUGCUUUAUCGUGAGACACGAGAAGAGAUACUUACACAUUUUGGAACGUGUAAAACAUGGCCUCUGCGAAACUAGUCAGUAGAUGCAUCCCAGGAAGGUAAACUUAUCCAGUAGAAUGUAAGCACACAAACCGCGUUUAUGAAAUUCUAUAAAUUUGGUCCCUUGUGCUGUAUCAGCAACACAAACUUCAAUCCUUCGUUCUAUCCCUCUGAAUUAAAGUUACUCUUCCUUCUCGCUCUCCCAAUGGGAUUCUCUCCUGCCUUUUACGCUUGCUCCAUUCCUCCAGUUGGUCCUAACAAAUUCACAGAGCUAGGCCAGUCCAAAUUCAACAAUGUUGUGCUUGUGCCUACUGCUCAGAAAUGGAGCAUUGCCCACGACCACACCUUGGUUUAUAAGCCCUUAAGAAAGCAUAAUCAUCAAUCUCAACAUCUCAGCUUUACUGUUAAGUUUACGUCUCCGUUUUCAUUUUCUUUUAAUUCUUAUUCUGCUAGAUUUUAGCUAUCGAAUAACUACGCGCGGCUGACACGCUUCUCUUGCAGGAUGAAUUUUACGUCAAGCAUGCACAAAGAUUGGAUGAAAUUAGAAACGUAUUCAGUGAAGUUGGAGAGGAUACGCUGGAAGGUUUGAUGAUGAUUGAUGCCAUACAAAGGUUGGGCAUUGACUACCACUUCAAAGAGGAAAUUGAAGCAGUUCUACAGAGACAGUAUACGAAAGCCAGCACUCACGGUGAGAGCAUUCAGGAUCUCUACGAGGUUGCUCUUCGUUUUCGGCUAUUGANNNNNN